UGCUCUUCCUUUUCCAGAGAGACCCAGAGGAAGUGAAGCACUGCACUCAUUAACUACAGUGUGCCCACGUCCUGUUUAUUUGUGGGGCUAUCAGAUGCAUCGUACCCGUGGUCCCAGCCGGAGGUGUCCUGCAAUGCAGGGGAGGGUCCUACCUCGUGUGAAUUCCUCAAGGAGGCUCUCUUCGACCACCCAGUUGACAUUCCAUUUAACAAAGCAGAGCAGGCCUCGGCCCCGGCUGCAGGGGUGACAGUCUCGGUGGAAUUUAAUCAGAGCUGAUUUAAAGGUCAACCUUGAGCAGAUAAUAGUGCAGAAUCGACGAGGCUUCUGCUGCGGCCGUGGGAACCGUCCAGGAAUGAGUGAAACCUGGGAAAGGAGCAGCAGCCGAGAGCGUGUUUCCCAAGGAGAAAGGUGCCUUGGCCUUGCUCCCCGGGCUGGGCCCGGCUGGGACAAAGCUGGCAGCCUGGGAACACUCCCCCGGGCUGGGCCCGGCUGGGACGAAGCUGGCAGCCUGGGAACGCUCCCCGGGCUGGGCCCGGCUGGGAUGAAGCCAGCCAUGUGACCCCGAGCUCUCCCUGGGCUUUUCCCUGCCGGGCACACCACCUGGCACGUAGUAGAUGCUCAGUAAACACCGGUGACUCAGUGGGCGCAUGGAAAGAUGAACAUGGAGGUGACACUUUGGCGCCAGCUGACUCCUGUCAGAUGGGCCUUUGAACCCUGGCUUCCUGGCAUUGGGCACUUCCAUUCUUGGUUGGGGCUGAGCCCCUCCUGUUACCAAGAGCACCCGAGUGGCAUCUCCUGGGCAGAGGCUCCAGGGCCCGGUCAUGCAGCAGAGCAGAAUCACAAAGCUCAUUGUCUCAGCAGGGAGUGCCACUCCCAGGGAGGCCGACCUGCCCACCGCAGCCCCGCCAGCGCCUCUAGUCUCCCUGACCUGCUCCACUUAAUGUUCCAAUUCGUUUAUGGGCCCUGUGGCCUACCAUCUGCCCACAGCGUCCACAAGAACAGGAGCUCUGUACAUGCUGUUCACGGCACAGGGUGACACUCAGCAAAUAUUUGCUGGAUGAAUGGACAAGUGUCCCAGCUCUGUGCUGCUUCACUGUGUGACCACAGGCGCAUCACGUGUCUUCCCGAGCCUCACUUUCCUCAUCCGCCGAAUGGGCUGGUCACUAACUGGAAGGUCCGGCGGGGCACGGGUUGGAGAACGCACCUCCACAGGCUCGGCUGGGAGAGGCACUCAGUGAGCCGGUGGCGAGAAGUCAGGAUCCACUCAUUCCUGCUGGUCGGUCAGUCCACAAGCAUGUGGCCCGAAGGCUUCACGGAAGGAGAAGGAAUGAAAGUAUGGCUGUGAAGUAGGAAUUCAGCAGAAAAAUAUUUAAGAUGUGCAGUAGUCACCUUUUGAAUAAAGUUAGUUUAAAAGGAAGAUGAAUAAACUGCUAGAGCUUGGACUCAAUUUCUAUUCGAAAGACAACUAGUACUUUAGGUAUUUAUUAAAUCACAGCA